GCGAAGAACCUUACCUACUCUUGACAUCCAGAGAACUUAGCAGAGAUGCUUUGGUGCCUUCGGGAACUCUGAGACAGGUGCUGCAUGGCUGUCGUCAGCUCGUGUUGUGAAAUGUUGGGUUAAGUCCCGCAACGAGCGCAACCCUUAUCCUUGUUUGCCAGCGAGUAAUGUCGGGAACUCCAGGGAGACUGCCGGUGAUAAACCGGAGGAAGGUGGGGACGACGUCAAGUCAUCAUGGCCCUUACGAGYAGGGCUACACACGUGCUACAAUGGCGCAUACAGAGGGCGGCCAACUUGCGAAAGUGAGCGAAUCCCAAAAAGUGSGUSGUAGUCCGGAUUGGAGUCUGCAACUCGACUCCAUGAAGUCGGAAUCGCU
rnacentral:rRNA from 1 species